rnacentral:rRNA from 1 species
UGAGUACGAGCUGCUACGGCAGCGAAGUGGGUGAUGUCAAGCUUCCAAGAAAAGCCCUAUACCCGUUAAGGCAUGAUGGCCUGUACCCGAAACCGACACAGGUGGGGUGGUAGAGAAUACCGAGGGGCGCGAGAUAACCCUCUCUAAGGAACUCGGCAAAAUGGCCCCGUAACUUCGGGAGAAGGGGUGCCACCGCAAGGUGGUCGCAGUGAAGAGGCCCAGGCGACUGUUUACCAAAAACACAGGUCUCCGCUAAGUCGCAAGACGAUGUAUGGGGGCUGACGCCUGCCCAGUGCCGGAAGGUUAAGGGAGCUGGUCAGCGUAAGCGAAGCUAGCGACUGAAGCCCCGGUGAACGGCGGCCGUAACAAUAACGGUCCUAAGGUAGCGAAAUUCCUUGUCGGGUAAGUUCCGACCCGCACGAAAGGCGUAACGAUCUGGGCGCUGUCUCGGAGAGAGGCUCGGCGAAAUAGAAUUGUCUGUGAAGAUGCGGACUACGUGCACCCGGACAGAAAGACCCUAUGAAGCUUUACUGUAGCUUGGUAUUGUGCUCGGGCUCGGAAUGCGCAGGAUAGGUGGGAGGCUAUGAACCAUUGCUUGUGGGUGAUGGUGAGCCACUGGUGAGAUACCACUCUUUCCGAGCUAGAGUUCUAACAGCCACCCGUUAUCCGGGGGCUGGACAGUAUCAGGUGGGCAGUUUGACUGGGGCGGUCGCCUCCUAAAAGGUAACGGAGGCGCGCAAAGGUUUGCUCAGGCUGGUUGGAAAUCAGCCGACGAGUGUAAAAGCAGAAGCAAGCUUGACUGUGAGACCUACAAGUCGAACAGGGAGGAAACUCGGCUUUAGUGAUCCGACGGUUCUGCGUGGAAGGGCCGUCGCUCAACGGAUAAAAGUUACUCUAGGAUAACAGGCUGAUCUCCCCCAAGAGUUCACAUCGACGGGGAGGUUUGGCACCUCGAUGUCGGCUCAUCGCAACCUGGGGCUGAAGUCGGUCCCAAGGGUUGGGCUGUUCGCCCAUUAAAGCGGUACGCGAGCUGGGUUCAGAACGUCGUGAGACAGUUCGGUCCAUAUCCGGUGCAUGCGCAGGAAUAUUGAGAGGAUUUCUCCCUAGUACGAGAGGACCGGGAGGAACGCACCUCUGGUGUACCAGUUAUCGUGCCAACGGUAAACGCUGGGUAGCUAUGUGCGGAGAGGAUAACCGCUGAAAGCAUCUAAGUGGGAAGCCCACCUCAAGAUGAGUAUUCCCAUGGGGUAACCCAGUAAGGUCACGGGAAGAACACCCGUUGAUAGGCUCUACGUGGAAGCGCAGUAAUGUGUGAAGCGGAGGAGUACUAAUAGACCGAGGGCUUGACC